rnacentral:rRNA from 1 species
UUCCGGUUGAUCCUGCCGGACCCUACUGCUAUCGGGGUGGGACUAAGACAUGCGAGUUGAGCGUCUCUAAGCUAUGGUAGAGACGCGGCGUACGGCUCAGUAACACGUGGCUAACCUACCCUUAGGACGGGGACAACCCCGGGAAACUGGGGCUAAUACCCGAUAGGCGAGGAGGCCUGGAAUGGUUCUUAGUCGAAAAGGCGUUGAAACCAUGCUUUUCGACGUUGCCUAAGGAUGGGGCCGCGCCCGAUCAGGUUGUUGGUGGGGUAACGGCUCACCAAGCCUAUAACCGGUACGGGCCGUGAGAGCGGGAGCCCGGAGAUGGGCACUGAGACAAGGGCCCAGGCCCUACGGGGCGCAGCAGUCGCGAAAACUCCGCAAUGCGCGAAAGCGUGACGGGGCUACCCCGAGUGCCGUCCGCUGAGGAUGGCUUUUCCCCGGUGUAAUGAGCCGGGGGAAUAAGGAGAGGGCAAGUCUGGUGUCAGCCGCCGCGGUAAUACCAGCUCUCCGAGUGGUAGGGAUGAUUAUUAGGCUUAAAGCGUCCGUAGCCGGCUUAGCAAGUCUCCUGUUAAAUUCAGCGACCUAAUCGUUGAGCCGCGGGAGAUACUACUAGGCUAGGAGGCGGGAGAGGCCGACGGUAUUCUCGGGGUAGGGGUGAAAUCCUAUAAUCCCGGGGGGACCACCAGUGGCGAAGGCUGUCGGCUAGAACGCGCUCGACGGUGAGGGACGAAAGCUGGGGGAGCGAACCGGAUUAGAUACCCGGGUAGUCCCAGCUGUAAACGAUGCGGGCUAGGUGUUGGGGUGGCUACGAGCCACUUCAGUGCCGCAGGGAAGCCAUUAAGCCCGCCGCCUGGGGAGUACGGCCGCAAGGCUGAAACUUAAAGGAAUUGGCGGGGGAGCACCACAAGGCGUGAAGCUUGCGGUUCAAUUGGAGUCAACGCCGGG